UUUCCGUAGGCGAACCUGCGGAAGGAUCAUUAACACUAUUUGAUCACCCCCUUUUUACCUACACAUACACACCAGUACGAACUGUGGGUUUCUUUCUUUUCGUCGGUUUACCUUCAAGAGCCAGCCUUCUGGGCGGAGCUUAAGCUUGAGCUUAGCUUAGCUAAGUGGGAAGCUGAGUGGAGCUGAGUGGGCUUUCUCUUGAGUUUUUUUUCUUCCAAAAACCCCUUUUUUUAACCAUCCUUGGUUAAAGAAAAAUAAAACCAUUAUAUAUAAAAAAACUAAUGCAAAACAAUUUAAAAAAAAAUAAGAGAACAACUCUUAACAAUGGAUAUCUUGGUUCUC
rnacentral:misc_RNA from 1 species